AAUAGAAAACAGUUACCCCUCCCAACUAUAUUUUAAGACCCAGUUAGGUGUCUAUAACACUAGGGAAACUGCCUGCUAAAUAAUAUUGGGGAUGGCUAUUCUACACAUCCCCACAGAUGCAAAUCCCCUUGGCAAUGGCAUAGUUAUAUAAGUAACCCCUAAACUUAUGGUGUGUGUGGGAGGCACAUGUUCUGAAUACAUUGAUUUCCAAUCAAGCCUGCCUGCCCUGGUUAAGGCAACAUAACCUAUAUAUUGAUUGGAGUACUAGGGAGAUGGGGUCUUGCAUCAGUCUGCAUUAAAUGCACAUUACAGCUUGCUACCACAGUCCUUGAGAGUCUACUUGAAUGUGUUGGGAAUUUUCAGUGACACCAUCAUCCCAGGAUAGGGAAUUAUCUAUCCCCUCUUAUAAAAUUGAAAUCCACUAAUCCAAUAUAUUAGGAGCCCACUGGGAGAGAUUAUUGAGUCCAAUGGAAAGGACACAGAGGCGUUAAUGUUAACUAUUUUAUUUAUUCAGUUCUAUAAAGGUCUUGCUCAUAUCCGAAUCUGCGCAACUUGCAGUAAAGCGAAGGAUAAACUUCCUGCAGUUGGUCUGUGUGAUAAGAAUUAAAGAUGAACAUUAUACAUUUUACCUUUGUUGUUACCCCAAUUUCCCAGUGACUCAGUCAGACGUGCUCUCCAAUGGUAUGAGGACUUUACCUCUUGGUAGGAUAGAGUUACAAGAAGGAUGAGAACAUUUGAUAGAGGUGGGACAUCACUGGAAAGGGAGAUCUAUGACAGAGCAGCAUAGCUGCUACUGUGGGGCCUUCACUGGCAAACGCAAACUGGGAGAGAAUCUUGAUGCCAGUAUUAAAGAUGACAGAAUGGGGCUCCCUCAGCAGCUGGUGCAACACCCAGGACAGUGAAAUUCCCGAGAGAUGAAGCGUUUUCAUAGCGCUUUCAAAGCGAUUUUCAGAUUGAUUUUCCGAGUGAUUUCACAGCGAUUAUUUUAUAGAGAUAUUCAGCGAUAUUCCAUCUGAUUUUUGGCAUUUGGAAAAAACAUCUUCCUUUGACGUCGUCAGCUGAUAUCUUCUUUUUAACCCAACAGCUCUUUUAAGAGCUAAAAAACGUGGGCACAAUGCCAUUCUGCGCCCCCUGGAGGAAGCCACAGGCGGAAUCCAGACCCCUCUCCGAGAUUUAUAAGCCUCCUGUUGGUCGGCUGACCAAGGAUGUACUUGUUGGAGAGGGCGGCACCAGAGACGUCUAGAAGGUCACAACAUUUUGUGUCCUUCUUGGAGUCCUGUCUGAAGAAGGAUCCUUUGGAGAAAGGGAGUGCUGAAGAACUCCUGCAGCACCCAUUCGUCACCCAACUGCCCACUCAAGGCUGAGAUUGGAGAACAUCUCAGGACUCUGCCGAACCGGCCGGCCAAGGAGGGACUGAAGGGAGUAGCUCUCCGGACCCUGGAACAGCUGCGGCGUGCUUGUGACUUCUGCACACAGACAUCGGCAGAACAAGAAGCAGCUCUGCAAAUGGCCCUGGGGGGCUUCUCCUGUUAUUGAUCUUGUGGGCAAUAACAUCAACAGCCCAGAAUGAGUUUCCUGAAUCACAGCCGAGGAAAAAGAAACAUCCACAGGUUAAGGUCCCAUCUCCAUUCAGUAUCCCUGUACAAUGGUUCUCAGCUGGUAGACAAAUAGCAAUUUGAACCCCUGCUGCCUGGUGGGUGUCUACAUUGGUAGGACCCAAAUCCUCACUGUGCACAAGAGGUGGGUUUCGGCUAGAAGAUGCUCACGUUUACAUUUUCUCAAGAUUUUCUCCUCUUUAAAAUAUAUUUUAAUCCUUGCCCUUCUUCCUGCACCUCCAUUGGUUCUUCCAUUCCACCAGUACCAAGACAUUUAGUCACCACCACACAGCACACAAAAAAUCAUGCCCCCUACACAGAGGCUUCUCUUCUCCACUUUUUUCUUUUGCCUCCCCCCCUGCAAUCUCCUAACACUAAUUCCUCAGUGGUUUCUCCUGUUCAAAUUCUUUCCUUUCUAAAUUCUAUCCUUUCAAGCCUUUCACUCAACAACCAGUCACAUCUCCUACUCUACACCCUUACAUAAACUCUUAGUACUGAUACUGCAUUAACUCAUAGUACAAGUUGAUCCAGGGACUUGUCCAAUUGCCCUUUGGGAGUCAGGAAGGAUUUUUUUUCCCCUCUGAGGCAAAUUGGCUCUGGCUUAAGAUGGGGUUUUUGCCUUCCUCUGGAUCAACUACUAAAUAGGAAUAUCCUUUUACACUAAAACUUGAAAUACUAAACAAAAGAAAAAUGUGUGGAGAGACAGAGAUCUGACAAUUGGUCCCCCCUACCUGCCACAUUCUUGCCAACCGGUUCAGACACUAAAACUUGAACCUAAUGGAUGUCCUUCCCAACUUAAAUUAAUAUGAAUUAAUCUAAAAUGCAUAAAUAUAACAUCCAAUUUAUAAAUAAAUAUGUUAAUACACAUUUCAUUGGUGUUCUAUAGUAUUGCCAGGGAACAUUACAGAGGAGGGAGACCUCUAUUGCAAGGGAAAAGGGUCACUGAAAAGUGAUUGUGGAAUCAAGAGGCAAGGGUGGGAGAAAUUGGGGAAAGGAGAUGCUAAGGAUGAAGAAAUAUAAGAAGGGGAUAAGCCAUGUCUGGACCCAGUCCUACUGAUCUGCACUGAUGUCAGAGGUUUGGUCAAUCAAUCACAUACAAAUGAUAUAUAGUGUAUAUAAACAUAUCACUGCGAUUAGUACAUUAUGAGACUGGGUUCAGAAGGUGCUGACUUAUUAGUAUGUUAUUUUGGGCCUAGCAGGUACUUGGAUAUACAUGUCACUGCCAUUAGUAUCCUUUGGGCCAAGGAGAAACUGACUCAUUGGGUCUAGAAAGCGCUAAAAGCACUGUCAUUAAAAGACGUUUGUCCCAUGAUAAAGUUGCCUUUGGUAUUAUUUGGGCAUAGGAUGGGCAAGUCUGUGUGAUGUUUUAUUGGGCAUCAGUCCAUCCCGUGAUUGGUUUACUAAUAACAGGUGGGAUAUUAAUGGCCACUGGAAAGCUGUCUCCUUUCUCUCACCUUUCAAGUACAUAGCUCUGGUGACAUUACAUAUAUUGACUUAGAACUACACACAAAGAUUUCGAAUCAACUCAGUUUUUAAGUACACCUUAUUUUAACUGGGCGCUUCACCUUUACUUUACGUUAAUGUAAGGGCUUAGUUUGAGAACCAAUACACGGAUGUAAAAUUCUACUUUAUACAUGGAGUUAUUGCUUUAUGGCAGAUGUGCUUUAAUGUUGUUUAACUGUUCAUCUCCUCUGUCUUGAUGGUGUCCAUUAAAGGGGAAGUUGAUGUCUUGGUUCACAUUUAUGUCAGCAUUAUUUGUAACUUGAGUCAUAUAAAUAAAAUGUGAAAUGUUUUUCUUGUUAUGUGAAACUGCAAUCAAAGCAAAUAAAAGAAAUAAAACCAUUAAAAAGGGUUUGUUAACGGUGAAACAGACUUUGUAUUCAAAGCUCUUAUAUGAACAAAAUGUCAACUUUGUGAAAGAAUCUUUAACGUUACAAAAAGAAUACCUUUUCUGACACAAGAAAUCCUGU